rnacentral:lncRNA from 1 species
AUGGUCAUUCCUGGUGUCUCCAGUCUCCUAGUGUACCAACUUGAAGAGCAGCCUAAUGUGAGCUGGGCUGACAUUAACACCCGAAUCCAGCUGGUUGCAGAUUUCCAUCCUGCUCAGCCUGGAAUGCAAGACUCCUGGAUGUGGGGACGGUCCCUCAUCCAGCUGAGCUACUGGCCUAUGGCAGAUGCAAUCCCUUUUCAAGAGAGCAAAGACCCUAUGCUACAGGUCAUGGUCCUGGUGCUGGCAGAAGGCACGCCGAACCCAUCGGUGAGACCCAAUCUCUUCUUUAUUAGCCGGAAAACACGUGCAAGGUUGAAGGGUGAAGUCCAUGCAUAUUUUAUAAAACAGGGAAAUUUUCACAAGUGACCAAAAUGGGCCACUGCUUGAACUUUCUCUGCAUGCCCUCAUCCUGGCUGAGCAGAAAACAUCAGAGGAAAUAUUGAGAAGAUACUGGGGACACUCUUGCAGAAGUACAAAAUCAAAUCCCUAGAAAAAAAAAGGGACUCCAUUUCUCACUAAAGGGAUUACUCAAAAGGUAAUUAAUAACAAAUUGUCCAAUACCAAACACCUGCACAUUGGAGUGUCUGGGUGGCUCAGAGGUUAAGUGUCUCAGGUCACAAUACCAGGGUCCUGGGAUGUAGUCCCACAUCAGGCUCCUCUCAGGGAGCCUGCUUCUCCCUCUGCCUGUGUCUCUGCCUCUCUCUCUCUCUCUCUCUCUCUCUGUGUGUGUGUGUGUCUCUUAUGAAUAAAUAUUUAAAAUCUUUAAAAAAAAAUACCUGC